rnacentral:rRNA from 1 species
GACAAGAAGACCCUAAGAAUUUUAAAAAUAGUAAUUUUUAGUUUCAAAGAAUGCUAUUUUUUAGUUGGGGCAACUAAGAAAUAUUAUAAACUUUUUUAAAAUAAAAUGAUCCAUUAUUAAUGAUUAUUUGAAAAAAUACUCUAGGGAUAACAGCGUAAUAAUUUUUGAUAGAACAUAUAGACAAAAUAGUUUGCGACCUCGAUGUUGGAUUAGGAUACUUUUUUAAUGAAGAUGUUAAAAAAAGAAGUUUGUUCAACUUUUAAAGUCCUACUUGAUCUGAGUUCAG